rnacentral:lncRNA from 1 species
AAAAAAAGUUAUUACAGAAGAUAAGAUAGAUAAUCAAACAUACAAUAGAUCUUAUCGUUUUCCUAUUAAUAAGUAUAAACAAAACUAAUUAUAUAUGUGUUCUUAGAUAUCUAAAAGUAAAGUUUGAAUAACAAACUAUGACAAACAAUAAUCCUUGAUCUAUUAAACUUUAGGAGCGGCAAGCAAUAGAUCGUCGUUGUUGUCACUAGAUGACUCUUCGUCGUUCCCCAUGCCUUCCCGGGGUGCAGUCGCCGCUGUUAGUGCGGGGUGGAUGUCGUCAUCGUCGCAGACUAAGAACUCCAUAUCCCGGCCGACGUCAUCGAAGGACUUGUGAGAACCAGGCGCUAGGACCUAUACGUCGUGGACACCGCCUCUACCAUCGUGGCCACUGACUCCAUCGCCUCCACCGUCGUGGCCAACGCCUCUCCCACCGACUCUGUAAACAACGACGCGCACCUCCUCUAUCGAUCUGUGCGUGCAUGCUCACUUGAGAAGGUUUCUAACCAGAACAUGCUCGCGGUGACGAAGGCCCGGAUUCUAUAAGAGGCGAUGGAUUCUGGGAGUCGGUGAAUCGGGACGGUUUCUCGAACGUCUCGUUUAUAGUUUGUUUGCGGCAUCGUUCACCGGCAGAAGGAUGACUUACUAGUAAGCUCUUUCUUAUUAGUCUGUCGACUUGUCGAGGGGUAAUAGGUUUACUUUGGAUUGGGCAAAUAGGGGUUGUUCUUAGGCAGCUAGAGACUAGACUGUUCCGGUCCCAUUGGCUCUUAAAAAGAAUAUGUUGUUCUCUUUACUCUUGCUAUCGAAUCAGGCAUGGGUAAUAUCAUAGGUAAGAAUGAAGUUUUUUUCAAGAAAUGCUGCGAGAGAUAAAUGAAAAUGGUUAAUGUUUGAUGACCAGCGUACUUGUAUAGUAUAGUAAU